UAAGGGUUUCAAAAGGAAACCUCUUGUUCUCCGCUGCAGCAUCCAGUGUUCUUCUAAGAUGGUAAAGAAGACGAGGUUCCUAAACGGCGUAUGAUUUUCCUUUUUCUCUAGGUGAUCAACACUCGAGGUCCUAUGUGUUGUGUAUCGUAGGCAAUCAAUUUUUAGAAGUAAGACUCCUAACUUUGUAUCCUUUUUGUUAUAAAUCUGUGUUCUUAUAAGAGGAUAAAUGUAGCUUCAUGUUCCUUUUGUGAAGAUGUGUUAUUAAAUUUGUCUACUCAAUGAAUAUUGUGAUUAAGUGAAGAUUUAUAUGUGAUCUCUAAGACUUUGUAAUUUCUCUGAUGCAGCCAGAAACUCAGUUGGAUUAUUUAUCCUAAUUGAUUAUGUAGAUUCAAUUGAAGAAGUUCAACUUUUUCACAACUGAUUUAAGUACUUUCAAACACAUGAAAUUGCCAACAAGUUAAGUGCAAAUGGAUCAUGAUAAUUCUCGAAAGAGGUAAGUCACAUGUUUAUUUAAUUAUAUUUCAAAUUAUUCACAUAAUUUUCAGAAUUUCUUGAUUCGUUUAAAUUUUUUGGAGACUCAAUUAUAUUGAUCCAUAUAACUAAAUCAUAUAUGAAGGAACUUGACAAGUAAAAAAUAAUUAAAAAAUAAAUAUUAAAUAUGAAAGUGAUAAAAUUAAAAAGAUAGUAUUGAAUAUUAAACAACACAGAAAAAGUAAGAUGGUAGAAGGGGAAAAGUAUUCAAAAUUGUGUUUAAAUUAUGAUUAGGGUUUCAACAAUUUGGAUAACUUUAAACACUUAAAUUAUGAAAUAUACUCCGACCUUUCAAUGAGAAACACUCUCUAUAACAACUUUUUACUUUAAUAACCAAGUUUUAUUUGGAAUCGAUAUUUUCUGGUCUUAAAUUGAAAAUUAUAUUAGACUAAAUGUGAUAUUUACAAAACUACUGGUUCAUUUGGACUUUGAAACUAGGCCUCCGAAGUAUUAUAGCAGCCUAUCUAGACAGUACAAUGUAUAAUUUGUCAAAGCAACAUAGUUAUUUAACUUUGCCAAAUAUACGUUCAUUAUAGUAUGAUUUUGAGAUAUAUAUAGUUGUUGGGUAUUUUUAUCUUAAAUAAAAUCCACUCCUAAUUAUGCAUAAAUACAAUAUUUUUAACAUAAUUAUUUUUGUAUAUCAUCAACUAAUAAAAAUCCAAGAAAUCUGUUUAUAGUAUAUAGUCUCAUAGUUGCCGUCAUUGGCAACUUAAGAAGAUUUAUAAAAGUAUUCAAGAUAUUCGUUUGUGUAAUAUAAUUUUUAUAUUCUUCCGAUCAUCCUUUAUAGCCAAUUUUUUAUAAGAUGAAUGUAUCGACAACCUUUUAAUAUGUUGAUAAAUUUUAUUUAAACACUAGAGUUAUAGAUAAUCCCGAUUAAGCAUCUUAACAAAAACUUCUUACUCAAACUUUUGAAAAGCUUCGGCUCAUAUUCUCAAACUCUCAUUAUGUUGAUUAGUUAGCCAAACACAGUAUGUCACACAUCAAUCUAAAUUGGAGCAUGAAUUGGGUUGUUUGGUUAUUGAGGCUAGUAUAUAUAACUAAAUAAGGUAACAAUUUAAGUGGUUAAUUUCUCUAUGUAGUUGGUACUUGGGAAUACACACAGAAGCAUUUUCAGUAGUUGUAUCAAAGUGUCUAACAUAAACACUUUAUCAUUUCUUCAAAUGCAAUAGAAAGUCAAAUGGAGAACAAUUAAAAUAGUUAACAAUAGAGUUUAAGUUAUGAUAUCGAUAAAAAAAAUCUUUACACAAUCAAAUUAUCUAAGAGAUGAUUUUAUAAUUAAGAGAGUACAUCUCUGUGAUAAACAUUAAACUAAAAUAAAUGAUCAAAAAGAUCAAAAUUGACAUAGUGUCAUUCAAGUGACCAAUUGAGAUAGUGUCAAUAGAAAAAGGGCAUACAUCUAAGCAAAAAAAUAUUCAUAUUAAAUAAAUAUGAAAUAGAAGAACCUAAAUUUCAAAUGAACAAAUUCAAACUUGAAAAUGAUCUUCUUUAUUAUUGAAGAACGAGGGGUAAAUAGAUUGAUGAAGAAAGAUCUUUUUGUUCUUCUUAUAUAUACAAUUGUAAUUGGAUCUGCAUAUAUUUGGUAAAGGGCAUAAUCUUAUACUUUGAAAAUAAUAAAAAAAAUGGACAGUGUUCAAAUGAAACAUGAAAACGUUAGUGAAUUGAUCCUAGUUACUCUUUGGGGCGGAGUAGAAGGAGGAUCCUCAAACACAAAGAGGAUCCAAUGAAUAUGAAAAAAUUAAACAAGGAGCCGUUUGAGGUGAAAAUCUGAUGUAGUUUUCUGUAGAGUGACAAUAAAGGUAACUUAUAUGUCAACUUUUAGUCACCUUUUUCACUAUCACCCAAAAAAAAACAAAUUCUAUCUUACGUGAAGUUGUCAUAGUACGAUUAACCUUUGAAUCUGAAAUAACAAUAUUGAAAUGUUCUUUUGAAUUUAUAUUGCAUUGGAUUAAACAAUAAAGUAUCUCUAAUAAACAUUUGUGACAUAAAUAUUGAAAAAGCUUUUGCGUUUGUUCUCAAGUGCGUAUUAUGUAAAUAAGUUAACCUCUUAAAAUUUUAUCUUCUUUAACUAUAUACAUUAGCCUUAAUAAGUCAUAAAAACUCAUUCAUGUUCCAAUUAGGCUGAUGAGUGACGUGUUUAAUGUUGUUAACUAAUCUAUAUGAUGAAAGCUUGAGAAAAUGUCUUGAUGUUUUUAGAAAAAUUGAAGAAAUUUUUUGGUUAGAUGCUCAAUUGGGAAAAGCUAUAAUCUGAUUGUCUAAUUUAAAUUUAUCGACAAGUGUAAAGAUUGCUAAUAUAUUUCAUCUUAUAACAAUUAAGAUAUAAUCUAGUCAGAUAAACAUAAAAAUUGUAUUAUAUACAUUUAAGUAAAAAAUUACUGUUUAUAUACUAAAACCUUUGAAAACUUUUAUCAAAAUUCUAGAGUUGCCAAUAACGGCAACUAUGAAACUAUAUAUUAUAAAUUAACUUUUAAAGUCUUUAAAAGUUAAAUUAUAUACAAAAUAAUUAUAUUAAAAAUAUUUUUAUGCACAAUUAGGGAAUGAAGUUUCUCUAAGAUACAAAAUAUUUUUUAUAGUAUGAUUUUGAGAUAUAAUCGGGUGGACCUCAUCUUUUGCCAAGUGAGUGUCGCAGGAGCAAAAUUGCACCUGUGAGUGUAUUCUCCUUCGAAGAGUUUGAAGUUAAUUUGAACUAUAUUGAUUUAAUUUUAAAUUAAAAUUUAGGUAUUUAAAAAAUAAUACAAGGUGCAAUUAUUUUCAUAUCAAUACGGUGAAAAAUGUGCAUUUUAAACAUUAUUCAAAGUUUAUGUUGGUGUACAUACCACAAAUUACAAUAAAUUAUUGUUAAAAAUAAAAUGACAAAAAUGAAUAAAAAAGUAUUCAGGUUGAGGGGAGAAUAUCUCACUCUCUUUAUGGACAUUCACGUCCACUGAGACAUAAUCUACAUCGAUCUAGCAGUAUAAAUCUUGACUUGUUCCUUCCAGAAUACUACAGUCCAACAACAUCGUACAAACUCAAACAACCCCGGAUUAAUUGAAGAGUCCAAAACUCCACAAAAAGACACAUUCCUUCAACAUAUAAUUGCUCUCUUUUGUAUAGUGAAUUAGUUGAAGACUAAGAAUAUUUUUUUUGUCUCAACUUUUGUAUAGUGAAAGAGAGAGUUGAGACAAACAAAAAUAUUCUAAGUCAUUAACUAAUUCACUAUACAAUAGAGAGUAAUUAUAUGUUGAAAUAAGGUGUUCUUAUUAAUGUAAGAAUAAUAUCUGAUUUAUGACCCAAAUUUACUUUUGAUCCAAGUAAAACAAUAAAAACAUAUAAUAAAGAAUAGAUCUCGUCCAUAAAUCAGUUAUUUGAUGGACGUACCAGAUUAAGUCUUAAUCUCUAUAAAUUGAUUUCUACCUCUACCCAUUAGGGUUACCAUAUAUUCUCUACAUGAUUUCCAUCGCCGACGGAUGUGGAUGAGAAUAAUGUAGAGAGUAUGUGGUAACCCUAAUGGAUGAAGGGAUGACCAAUUUAUAGAGGUAGAAACUUAAUCUAGUACGUCCAUCAAGUAACUGAUGUAUGGACGAGAUCUAUUCUUCAUUAAAUAAUAUUUAUGAUUUUACUUGGGUGACAAGUAAACUGUAACACCUCGGAUUUCGAAAGAGCUAAAUAGAAAAUUCAUGCAAGUCUGCCAUCAAUUUUUAGUUUUUGGUCAACUUCAAACGACCAUAUCUUUUAGAAAAUAAAGAAUUAGGUGGCCCAUGAGCUAUCAAAUUGAAGGUCUUUGAUUCCUCUUUUCAACACCACCAAGUUUGCUAAAUUUAGAGCUCUGAAUAAAAAGUUAUGGUUGUUUGAGUGAAGCCUCUCCAUUUAAGGCAUUCCAUUCGUUUUAGGAAAGGGUAUUUUUGACUUUUCCUUUUUCCCACUAGGCUUAACACGUUUUUCCUAACUCAAUUCAGGGUUUAAUAAGAUUCUAAAACACCUAUUAACUUUCCUAAACACUUAGGGAUUUAGAGGAGGGUUUCAAGAGGAGAAAAAUGGCUAAGUUCAGGCGUUCUACAAGAUUUGUGGAUUUUGCCAAGAAUAUCAUUCUUUUCAAGUAUGUAAGGCUUCUCAGAGGGUUGGAAUUUUUCGUCCUCACGCCAUACAUCUAACUCAUCCAUGAAAUCAUUAUAUUAAGAGAUUCUUGAGUGGUCCUUGAUUUUAGUUUCAUUCUUUAACGAUGGAGGUUUUGAGUUUCUUGGGUUGAGGAUCUUGAGUAUGAGUUGUGAUUCUUGAAAGGGAUUGUAUGGAAUUCUUCAUGUAUUCGUGUUGGGUUUGAGAAUUAAUAAGAGUUUAGGAGAAAUUUCCCAAUUCUAAACGAGUUUGAAGCCUAAGUCUUCACAAAAAACAUUUGUCGUUGGGGAGGGUUGGGUGCCAUGCUAGCAGUGCGCCCAAAACUAGCCCCAGUACUUUGGGGCCUGGGGCACUGCGCCAACAGUGUGUCUGAACCCAGCCCCAAUACUUUGGGUCUAGCCUUGCGCCCGCUGUACACCUGAAGUUCACUGGGCCAGUUUUUCCUUAUUUCAUCCGGCGUGUGUUCCUUUAAGUUGUGGCUACAUUUUACCUUUCUAUAUUAACUACUAAAGUCUCCAUUAAUUCUUGAGAGAUCCUUCAUGUCCCAAUCACAUGUCUUAAUUUACAUUCCAAACUAAAGUGAGUUUAAGAGGAAAGUUCAAGAGGUCUUUUUAAGUCAUUUUGAGAAUUCUUUUGUAAUCAACAAUGGUUUUGAACUAAGUCUUGAGGAAAUGAACAUGAGAAUGAGAAGAGUUGCAUUCAUGAUUGAAAAAGAGUAUAAGGGAACUACGUAUUCCAAACCGUAACACAUUUACAUGAAAAAAGAUUAAAACAUAGAUUUCUAAAUGAGAUUAUGAGUUCAGAGAUAUUUCAGAGCAUAACCCUUUUUAAGAGGAUCUUUUGAGUAAUUACUUCAAAUUGAGAAAGAGUUAUGUUUUAUACAUUUGAGCAUGCCUUAUUAUAUUAUUGAGCACCGAUAUGGGGAUGAGUUCAGACAACUCACAUUCUAUAACACCCCAAUUUUUUUUUGAAUUGAGACUCGAACCAUCUUUCGUUGUGAGUAGGAUUUUACCAAGGAAUUUAAAAUUUUCUGAAGUGUUAAGGUCACUAGAUGUACCACCUUGAGUUCCAAGAAGAACUAAAGAGAAUUCAUUCAAGUAAUUCAGAAGUUCUUUUAAGUUUUGGGUCAACGUCAAAUGACCAUAACUUUUAGUACAAGAUGAGUUAGGUGGCCUAUAAGAUAUCAAAUGAAAGGUCUUUGAAUUAUCUUUCCAAUUCCACCAAGUUUCUAAGUUUAGAGUUCGGAUGUGUGAGAUAUGCCCUUUUGAAGUCAGGCUGCCCAAUUAACUUGCUUCAAGACUCGAGCAAGUGAAUAUGAGAAUGAGGAGAAUGUAUUUAUGAGUCUACUUUAUCAUCACGAUAUCCUUCACAUCAUUAAUCAUAGCUCUUUAAUUUAUUAUUCGAAUUCAAGAAAGAGUUAAGAGUUCAGUUCAAGAAAGUCUUUGAGUUCAAUUGUGAAUCCUUUGAGAUCAACUAUCGACUUGAACUAAGUUUUGAGGACAUAAGUAUGAGAAUGAGAAGAGUCAUAUACCUGAGUUCCAUAUUGCUAUGUAGACCCUCAAAUCGAGUCGUUCAUGCCCAUAAAUUCUGCAUGAACUUCAUAAAUUGAGCAUCUUUGAGAGGAGUAGUAUCUUUAUCCUCAAGUUCUAAAUUUUUGAGCAUUGAGUUCCUAAAUCUUUUGGGAUUAUAUUCCUAAUCAUGAGACUACUACAUGUUACCCAUGAAGGUCCUUGAGUUGAGUAGUUCAUGCCUAUAAUUCCGCAUGAACCCUAUGAGUCUAGCACUAUUGAGAUGAGAAUUAUCAUUAAGCCCUUGAGUUGAGUAGUUCAUGCCCAUAACUCCGCAUGAACCCUUUAAGUCGAGCAUUCUUAAGAUGAGUAGUAUCAUUGACUCCUUGAGUUUUGGAGUUGUUGAUUUCCAAGUAUUCAGCUCAAUGCAUGGUUAUUGAAAACCUUAAAUUGAGUCGUUCACGUCCAUAUUUCGGCAUGAACCCUAUUUUAAGAAGUCUUUUUACAAAUUGUUUUAAAAACUUGAGCACUGAGUUGAGGAAGAGUAGAGCUGAGUUCAUUUUCUUUAAAAUGAUAUAUGGGAACUACGUAUUCCCAAAGAGUAAAUGUUUUUACAUUAAAGAUGAGAGGAAUCUGAGAUUUUCAAAAGAGUUUUGAGCAGUUUGAGUACCAUCUCUUUUUAAGAGAAAGAUUUUGAGUAAUAAUCUCAAAACACAGAAAGAGUUAUGUUAUUUUAAAAACAUAUGAGUUAGUAUAUUUUGGGAGUAGUAUUGAGCACCGAUAUGGGGGAGAGUUCAGAUAAUUAACUCACAGCCCCCAUAAACCAUGUAGCCAACGUGGGUAGAAAGGGUCAUACUUUUGAGAUGAUUCCUUAUUGCUUUUUAGCGCAGACUAGUGGAUCCACUUAGUAGUAGGUUCUAUACCCCGGUAAAGUAUAGGACAGCUCUGGCAGCAUGGGUUAGACAUUGUAUCAUCAGAUAGCUAAUAGUGAUGGUUAUCGGUUAGAGAAACUCCCACAAAGAUAUAUUGUAUUCUUAUAUACACAGAGUUUACUUUGUAUUUUCAUAUACAAGCAAAGUUUAUCUUGUAUCCUUGCAUACAAACUGAGUUACUAUUGUAUUUUUCAAUACAUUGAGUUACUUUCUAUUGUUUUAAAAGCUUUCCAUAAAUUGCAUCUGUAUUUUUGCUUCAUAUUGAGUUGAAUAUUCAAAGUUGAGUAUCCAGAGUUGAGUACCCAGAGUCAAGUAUCUUAUUAUUAAGUUGAGCCUUAUUUCACUGAGUUGAAUAUCUUAUCAUUGAGUUGAGCCCUAUUUUCUCUGAGUUGAUCAGUUGAACUAUGUUUCUUUGAGUUGACUUGAUUUGAGUGAGUUGAGAAGAGGUAAGUAUGUUUCUUUUCCACCCGUUCAAGCUUAUAAUUCAAUGAAAUGUAAGCUUGUUCCCUGCUCCUUCUCUUUUAAAGUUGAAAGGAUUGAGUUAAUUAUUGUGUUUAAUAUUUUACUUUCUUUCAUUAGUAUUGGUUGCAUCUUUGCUCGAGUAGAACUGGAUUGAAGAAAUCUUAUAUGAUUAAAUUUCUUUAAUGAGCUAUGUUUCAAUUAUUCUAGUAUCUCUUAUCUUAACUUUUCUUUAUCUUAGCAUCUUGCUUCUACUACAGGCC
rnacentral:lncRNA from 1 species